rnacentral:tRNA from 1 species
AAAUAGAAGUAUUAAGAGAUACAAUCAGUUUCGACCUGAGAAAAGGUUUAACCCUAUUUA